CGAAUUAAAAAUUCUAGCUUACUAAUUAUUGGGUCCUUCCCAAAUUUUGAUGGAAUGUUAAUUGACUUCUCUUUUAACAAACUGCAAUUGAAAAUGUGCAUUUGGCUUAAGUUUUCAUUCAAAAAUAUUUGAAAUACUCAGAAGGGUUUUUGGAGUAGUAAAAAAUUGACCUGUUUAGAUGUCGAUUUGCGAUGCAUCACGGCACUUACACAUUUUUUUCUAUAGCUCAAAAUAAUCUCUGAACCUUCUACUUAAAAUUUGUAUCCAUCAUUUUUUGAAAAUCCUAACCAAAUAAGAGAAAAUAAUGAUUUAUUACAAGCAAGUAUUUCCACCUGUUUGUUUACAUUUUUUGCACGCACACGAUCUGUCAAAAAUUAGCUUCGAAAUCGCGAAUUUGUUCCGCCGCUCGAGUUCGCAUUGGUCGCGUUCGCCAAUUCGCAUCGCAUCGCUCUCACUAUGUCAUCGGCCUAAGAUAGCCCAUCAUACACAGUAAACGAAAAUUACCGAGUUCGGUAAUUUUUUUUACAGAACCAGUUCUGUAAUAUGAAACUUUCGGUAAUUAAUCAAUCUGACGUCUUAUUCUUACCGAGUUCUGUAAAUAGUUUCGCAAUUUACCGAAGUUUGUUAAUUUUUGAGUAAACAAAUCAGUUUGCCGUAAUUUUUCGGUGAAAUAGCACCGAAAACUGUAAAACGAGACUGAAGCAGCGGGGCUGCCAGGACAAACGUCAAACUUUGUUUGUCAUUUUACUGGCAGUUGCGCAUUCUCUCUCUCACUCUUGCUACCGUAAUUAUUUGUUUCGAAUUUGUUACGUGUGCUCGUCGCAUUUUUUUUUCAAAGACGGUUUCGUAAGUUUCGUGUGUUGUGAACUUUUCCAUUUUUUCAAUUUUGGUGCCGUAUAAACUGCUGGUAAAUAUUAUCAAAUGGUUCACAGAAAAAGGAAGAACCGAAAAUUAUGUUGGUCUAAUGAAGAAAAGAUUUAAUUUUACAUCAAUGCGGAUGUAAAUAAUUCACACGCAGACAAAUCAAAAUGAAAUGAGGGUUCAAUUCGUAAAAUCGUUGUUUCGGUUCUUUGUGUUUGCCGCAGUCCGCAUCAAUGGUGUAGGAAGGUCUCUAUAAGUAUUCUCAAAAUUUCGACUGAAAGUUUUCAAGUGUUCGGUGCAUUCUGUUAACAGCAGGAUCCCAUACGAAGUUCAAAUAUUUUUAACCAGAGCUCCAUUUCAUAUCAUUCAACUUCACGGAACCAUCCUAGAAGCAAAAUUAAAUAAUGAAGAAGCCAUACUGAAAGAAGCAAAAGUCAUGCGAAUCUCUGAAGUAUUUGUUGUGAAGAUGGUCCUCGUUCUCAAAACAUGGUUGGAUUUACCUACUCAAUUAAGGAGCUGAAGCAUUUGUUGAAGGUGUUUGAAGCGAACGACAACCCGUCCGUCCUCAUUGGAAGUAAUCACAAUAGCACACACUUAAACGCUUAAGCAAUGGUACAUCAGAUCUAAAUUUCAUAUUACAUUCGAUAAGUUUAAGCGCCUUUGUGUAUACAUGCGAUGUUUUUUUCUAACAACGAAAACAAAUCAAAUUUUGUUUUCAUGUUUCGAAAUAAACGCAUUUAUAAUAGUCUAUACAAAGGCGUUUAAAACUUUGAUCGAGGAAUUAUUCAAGGUCUCAAGCAAGGUGUGUAUGUACAGGAGGUGUUACCGAAUAUCGAAUUCCCGAUUCAGCCAUUUUGGCUAUUUAGGGUACGCAACUAUGCGGAACUAAAGAAGUUUGUUUACCAACAAACCACAGAAAAGCUGAGCAAAUAAUCUUAUGUUUGUAACACAUUGAGAGCCCCGCUCACUCCUCGCCUGCUUACUGUGAAAGUCGGAGAACCUCGUGUAUCAAAAAACGUUGGUCUCUAGCUAGUUGUUUUGUUUACCUUUUCCGAACGUUUAUCAAAUUUUCCUGCGAGUAUUAUAAAAAGAAAUUUAUAAUUUGGUUCGGUUGCUGGUUCGCGAUAGAUCGAUCGUAUUCACCGAACGUUGGGUCAUGUUUCUUCGCCGAAAACAUACCAACUUGUCAAGAGGUUACGUAUCAGUAGGUAGGUAUCAGUUCACAGAACUUAAAAGCAGUACUGGAAUAUUCUUUGACGAUGCCAAUCCUACCUAUGAUAAUGUCAGUACCAGCAUUUGCCUUUGAACCCGCCCUAAUUAACAAAGAGCCAUUGUUUGUUUUUAAACAAAGUUUCCGGAAAGAUCGUUCGAGAGGCCAGUGGUCUAUGGCCUGUGCGAAUUCUGCAAUCAGUCGAACGGUGGUUCCUUCGUGUUUUUUCGCGACGGACGACAAACUGUUUCCUUCCACUGGAGCGGAGUGCAUCAUGCCAACUGCCAAUUAAUCAAAAACUUCCGGUUUCUGUUACGUGAAUGAGAUUGCGGUUUAGUACUCGAAACGUUUUUAAGCUGAAAAGCAAAGGCCGCCUGUGCAACACCUGAUCGUACUGGUAUAAAUGCGGCACACAAAAGCAGCCGCGGUUGGUCAAAAACACCAAACCAGAGAAUGUUUAAAACGUGUUAGAAGUGGAAAAUUCUACCGGUAAUAAUGGGAACAGCAAACCCAGCCAUUAAAGGAUACCAGGACUUCAAAUGAUCGACAAAGGCCUUGUUCCCCUUGUACCAAAAAUAGUGAACUCUCUGCCAGUGGGCGCACUAAUGGGCGAGCAUCAUAUAUUGUAGUUCUUACUUAGUGCUUUCAUCAGUUUUUUACUGUAUGUUAAAAUAAGUUUCUGAUGUAUUUCGCACAAGCAACUGAAAUGCACAUUUAGCACACUGAUGAACAGAAAACAAUAUGGAAAUCAAUCGUGCUCGUUUGGAUGAAAAUGAACAAAAUCUUCCGAUUUUGUGCAAUAUUGAUUAUCCCACGCGAGGUGGUCUUUUCAAUUAUUUGCUGGUAAAAGAUGGAGAAACAGAUUAUCAACUUCUGGGCCGUGAGUUUGAAAACUAUUCUAAUUUGUUUAAUGCAAUCUAAAAGUUUUUUUUUAUGUUAACAGAUAAGCAAUCGUGCGUCGUCUUUAAUCACUGCUGGAACCAAUAACAACGCAAAUACCAAGAUAACUAUAGUGGUGGUAUCACAUUUUUUGCCAGCCGUACUGGAGCCCUCCGGAUGAUAAGGAAAUACGAAAAUAGCUGUCACCUAUAGUAAUUGUCGUAAGUUCAACUUAGCUUUAUGGUUUGAUAUUAGAAUAGUUUACCUAGAAUGUUAAGACGCAUCAAAUUAAUUAUCUUCACAUUAUGCUUCUAAAUUAUAGGGCUAAUCUAACUCACUUUAGCGCCUUUCACAGAAAAUUGGAUGUCCAUCCUUUUUCAGUUUUGCUGCUAUACUAAAUAUCAUCACCUCAUCAUUGAAUCCAAGAACCAGGGGGCUCAAACGAGCCUCUUGGUGUGGGGGAGUGUGGUGGGCCGCUUUACUUUUACUUUACUUUUUUACUUUAUAUAAUAAAAAUUAUAUCAAUGUCCGAAGUUCUGCUCUGUAUAACGAUCAGAUAUUGAAAUUGUAAGUUUUGAUUUCUUAAUUUUAAAUUACUUUGAAGUUAGCUUUUGAAAAAAAUAUGUCUUAAUUUUGACGAACUAGUAUAAUUUCUUAAAAUCAUGAAGACAUGGGAGGUAUAAGUUUUUUUUUUGUUAUUAACCUCAACGGCAUUGCAAUUGCUAACGAAGCUUCGAAGACUUCUUUGAAAUAUCCUAAAACCAACGGAUACAUAUUAUAACAGAUUUUUUUAUGUAAUCAUCUUUUUAUGUAAGUAUCACUUACAAAUUUAUAAUGAAAGUGCUAGAUGAUAAUCGAAUUUACUGUUAUUGU